rnacentral:rRNA from 1 species
ACAGCAGCAGCCGCGGGAAUACGUAGGUGGCAAGCGUUAUCCGGAAUUAUUGGGCGUAAAGCGCGCGUAGGCGGUUUUUUAAGUCUGAUGUGAAAGCCCACGGCUCAACCGUGGAGGGUCAUUGGAAACUGGAAAACUUGAGUGCAGAAGAGGAAAGUGGAAUUCCAUGUGUAGCGGUGAAAUGCGCAGAGAUAUGGAGGAACACCAGUGGCGAAGGCGACUUUCUGGUCUGUAACUGACGCUGAUGUGCGAAAGCGUGGGGAUCAAACAGGAUUAGAUACCCCAGUAGUCCCUGUCUCUUAUAC